rnacentral:RNase_P_RNA from 1 species
CGAGUAAAUUGGAUAGUCGCGGGUCUUUAAGGCCUGAGGAAAGUCGGAGCUCCAUAGGGCAGGGUGCUGGGUAACACCCAGUGAGGGCAACCUCAAGGAAAGUGCCACAGAAACAAACCGCCGGCAGCGGAGAGCCAACUCUGCGUUUUUUAACGGGACUUGACUCUCCACUGCCGGUAAGGGUGGAAAGGUGAGGUAAGAGCUCACCAGCGUCCAGGUGACUGGUCGGCUAGGUAAACCCCACCUGGUGCAAGACCAAAUAGAGGAGCAUUGGAGCGGCCCGCUCCGCUCCCGGGUUAGGUCGCUAGAGAUGUCAGGCAACUGGCGUCCCAGAUAGAUGACUAUCUAUAACAGAACUCCGCUUACAGAUUUACUCGCGGU